GGAUGACGCUGGCGGCAGGCCUACACAUGCAGUCCAGCGGCUGCACGGAGAGCUUGCUCUCUUCGGGGGGAGAGGGGUGAGGGAUGGCUAUGCAUCUGACUCUACUCUGGGGAGAGCGAUUCCGAAGGGAAACUUAUACCGCUUCCGCCCUCCAGCUGAAAGCGAGGGACCGGGACCUUUUGGCCUUGCGCGAUUGCCUGAGCCGGAUUCGCUUGUUGGUGAGGGAAUGGCUCACCAAGGCCACGAUCCCUAUCUGGUCUUAGACGAAGAUCAUGCUCACUGGCACUGAAACUGAGACCCGACUCCUACUGCAGGCGGAGGUGGGGAAUGUGGAUCUAUGAGAGAGAGCCUGAUCCUGACCUGCCCCUAGUGCGAGGAAGGACUACGGCUUGUAAAGCACUAUCCGUUUUGAGGAAAAGCAAUUCGCUCUUACUUAGACCCGGUUACGAUGCCGGCACCAUAAGAAUCGGCUACCUCUGUGUCCGUGGCCGCGGCCGUACUAAUGGUGCAGGCGUUAAUCUGAAUUACAGUUCCUAAA
rnacentral:rRNA from 1 species